CGCCAUAGGAGCUACGCGUUCUGGGGAGAGGCUAAUUAGGCUCUUCCUACAAAGUCGUGGAUGUAUUAAGAGACCGUACGAAGUGCUCUGCUGUGAUUUUUCCCUGACGACGGUCUCCUAGCUCAUGACAGGAUAUUUUAGUGUGCAACGUGGAGCAAGCAUAGACUGUUAAUGGGAGCAAGCCAUUCUGCUUUGAGGAGCAUGAAGAGCCAUUGCCAAUUUACCAACGUGACACUACUCCCCCUGCUGGGCACCUGCUUCAACGACUCUUGAAUGUCAAGGUGUGCGAGUGCGACUGUUUUGCAUGCAAAUAAUUGUGACUUGCUUUUUGUCAUUACCUUCCCUCCUUUGUGUGCUCUGUCUCCUUUCUAAAUAUGUAUUUUCUUCAUAAAUUGCCUUCUAAAGAGUAAAAUAUACAGUGGUCCUGAGAGUUCAAUGCACUGUAACUUUA